AUAAUAGGACACAAUCUGACUUUUGUUUACAUUAAAAGACACAUUGUCUCCUUUGCACACUUUCUCUAGACAGCUGUCUUUUCUAUGACAUAAAUAACCUUGCUUUUUGUGUAAGGAGGAGUGUGUUUCUUUUAAGAAGGCUACCGUAAAGUGAAGAAGUAGAAACUAAGUUUGUCUUUAGUUACACAAUAAAUGAUAAAGGUUAAAAGAAAAAGGUAACUGUAUGGGAAAAAGUGAAUUGUUUAAGGACGUUAGAUCUAUUUAUAUGCAUAAGAUCUAAGGCUGAGAAUAUAGUUUAAAUAUUUGGAGAUGUGUUUGGUAAUGGGUGGAGUUCGUGGUGGACAAAAAGAAGAUGGUCGGAUUGGGGUUCUCAGGUGUAUUGUGGAUGGGACUCUCGUGGUUUGUGUGAUUGUUGUGGUGGUCAGAUGUGUUGUGGAUGGGACUCUUGUGGUUAGGGGGAGUGUUGUUGUGGUCGGGAGUGUUGUCGUCAAGGCUCUGGUGGCCAGUUUGUGAAUGGAUGCCGAUGUUGGCUUUAGUCUGGUGACAAUGCUAGUAUGAUCUUGUAGGCUUUAGUCUGGAUGGAGGUAGUGUUGUACAGCAUAUUAGUUAAUGAUAUGGGAGUGGCUUCCAAGUGAUUCUUCUUCCUCACAUACUCAGUUCGUGGAAUUAAAGUACAUGAAUAGACAUAAGCUGAAAGGCACAUUGAGAACAAAACAAAAGGUGUCUAUUAGGUGUAUCAUGUGUGGCGACAUGAGACGGGUUAUUGUGGUUGGGUGAGUUGUGGUCGGGUAAGUCAUGGUUAGGCGUCAGCUGUAUCCAUAUCCACCACCAUAGCAUCCACCAUCACGACAUCCAUAACCACCUCCUCCUCCUCACGUCUUCUACCUCCGUAUCUACAUCCGCCACCACGACAUCUACCAUCGCGGCAUCCACCACCACAAUCAGACAAUAAACUAACUUUUCAUAUAUGAAUCAGUUGCGAAGAGUCUCACGGGAAGACGGUGGUCUAUGGCGUCCUCUGCAGAAUCUGAAAAAAGGAAAAAUCGUUAAUGGUGGCUGUGGGUGGAAGAUGAAGGAACAACGGCGGCGGAGACAGAGUACGAAACGGAACUCACCUUCCAUGGCGGGUUUUUCUCAAUCAACGGUGGCUGGCUGUGGUUAAUGAUGAAAUCAACUAUCGCCGGAGAGGAUCUGAUUUUUAGAAACUUGAUUACGGUUUGGCGAAGGUUUGAGUUUCUAGAUCUACAAGAAAUCGGGGGAGAGAUAAAACUAGGGUUUGUCUCUUGAAAUCUACAAAAUGAAAAAGAAAAAAAAAGAUAGACUCUUUCAAAAUUCAAGUAAAAAAUAUCUGAAAAUAUAUUAUUUGUUUUAUUUUUACUAGUUAGGAAAACCAAUUGUUCUGGUUAGAGAAUUCAUGAAACCCACUUUCACUAAGAGGUGAGGGUUAAGCUAGACAUUUCACUAAGAGAAAGUGUCCACUAAGACCAAAGUGUCUUAAAGUGUAAUUCAUAAGAUGAAUUGUGUCUGUGGGCGUAAAUAUCUC
rnacentral:lncRNA from 1 species